rnacentral:rRNA from 1 species
AGUGAACGCUGGCGGUAGUCCUAACACAUGCAAGUCGAACGGCAGCACAGAGGAGCUUACUCCUUGGGUGGCGAUUGGCGGACGGGUGAUGAAUACAUCGGAAUCUACUCUGUCGUGUGGGAUAACGGAGGGAAACUUACGCUAAUACCGCAUACGACCUACGGGUGAAAGCAGGGGAUCUUCGGAACUUGCGCGAAUGAAUGAGGCGCUGUCGGAUUAGCUAGAUGGCGGGGUGAAGGUCGACCAAGGCGACGAUCCGUAGCUGGUAUGAGAGGAUGAUCAACGACACUAGAACUGAGCCACGGUCAGACUCACACGGGAAGCAGCAGUCGGGAAUAUUGGACAAUGGGCGCAAGCCUGAUCCCGCCAUACCGCGUGGGUGAAGAAGGCCUUCGGGUUGUAAAGCCCUUUUGUUGGGAAAGAAAUCCAUCUGGUUAAUACCCGGGUGGGAUGACGCUACCCAAAGAACAAGCACCGGCUAACUUCGUGCCAGCCGCCGCUGUAA